rnacentral:rRNA from 1 species
GGAGGGUGCGAGCGUUAAUCGGAAUUACUGGGCGUAAAGCGCGCGUAGGCGGCGUGAUCAGUCGGACGUGAAAGCCCCGGGCUUAACCUGGGAAUUGCACUCGAUACUGUCAGGCUAGAGUAUGGGAGAGGGAAGUGGAAUUUCCGGUGUAGCGGUGAAAUGCGUAGAUAUCGGAAGGAACACCAGUGGCGAAGGCGACUUCCUGGCCCAAUACUGACGCUCAGGUGCGAAAGCGUGGGUAGCGAACAGGGAUUAGAUACCCUGGUAGUCCACGCCGUAAACGAUGAGAACUAGAUGUCGGGAGGAUUUACCUCUCGGUGUCGCAGCUAACGCGUUAAGUUCUCCGCCUGGGGAGUACGCCGGCAACGGUA